rnacentral:rRNA from 1 species
UUGUCCUUCAGUUAGGCUGGCCCCAGAACAGGUGCUGCAUGGCUGUCGUCAGCUCGUGUCGUGAGAUGUUGGGUUAAGUCCCGCAACGAGCGCAACCCUCGCCCUUAGUUGCCAGCAUUUAGUUGGGCACUCUAAGGGGACUGCCGGUGAUAAGCCGAGAGGAAGGUGGGGAUGACGUCAAGUCCUCAUGGCCCUUACGGGCUGGGCUACACACGUGCUACAAUGGUGGUGACAGUGGGCAGCGAGACAGCGAUGUCGAGCUAAUCUCCAAAAGCCAUCUCAGUUCGGAUUGCACUCUGCAACUCGAGUGCAUGAAGUUGGAAUCGCUAGUAAUCGCAGAUCAGC